rnacentral:rRNA from 1 species
CGGGGGGGCAAGCGUUGUUCGGAAUUACUGGGCGUAAAGGGCUCGUAGGCGGCCAACUAAGUCAGACGUGAAAUCCCUAGGCUCAACCCUAGGAACUGCGUCUGAUACUGGAUGGCUUGAAUCCGGGAGAGGGAUGCAGGAAUUCCAGGUGUAGCGGUGAAAUGCGUAGAUAUCUGGAGGAAUACCGGUGGCGAAGGCGGCAUCCUGGACCCGGCAUUGACGCUGAGGAGCGAAAGCCAGGGGAGCAAACGGGAUUAGAUACCCCGGUAGUCCUGGCCCUAAACGAUGAAUGUUUGGUGUGACGGGUAUCGAUCCCUGUCGUGCCGAAGCUAACGCAUUAAACAUUACCGCCUGGGGAUACGGGUCGCAAGGCUG